UACGGAGGGUGCGAGCGUUGUCCGGAAUCACUGGGCGUAAAGGGCUCGUAGGCGGCCAACUAAGUCAUACGUGAAAUCCCUCAGCUUAACUGGGGAACUGCGUGUGAUACUGGAUGGCUUGGAUUUGGGAGAGGGAUGCGGAAUUCCAGGUGUAGCGGUGAAAUGCGUAGAUAUCUGGAGGAACACCGGUGGCGAAGGCGGCAUCCUGGACCAAUAUUGACGCUGAGGAGCGAAAGCUAGGGGAGCAAACGGG
rnacentral:rRNA from 1 species